rnacentral:misc_RNA from 1 species
AACAAGGCGUACCUGCGGACCUGCGGAAGGAUCAUUACAGAGUUCGUGCCCUCGCGGGUAGAUCUCCCACCCUUGUGUAUUCUCUACAUCUUGUUGCUUUGGCAGGCCGUUGGUUCGCCAACCACCGGCUCGCGGGCUGGUGCGUGCCUGCCAGAGGACCUCUCAAACUCGGUUUGUCAGUGUCGUCUGAGUACCAUAACAAUCGUUAAAACUUUCAGCAACGGAUCUCAGAUCGGAAGA